GACAGAGGUGCCAAGCGUUAGGCGGAAUCACUGGGCUUAAAGCGUGUGUAGGCGGAUCGUUAAGUGCUUUGUGAAAUCCCACGGCUCAACCGUGGAAUUGCUCGGCAUACUGGCGGUCUUGAGCCAUCUAGGGGUCGCUGGAACAAACGGUGGAGCGGUGAAAUGCGUAGAUAUCGUUUGGAACGCCAAUGGUGAAAACAGGCGACUGGGGAUGUGCUGACG
rnacentral:rRNA from 1 species